rnacentral:rRNA from 1 species
UGGCUCAGGACGAACGCUGGCGGCGUGCCUAAUGCAUGCAAGUCGAACGCAGCAGGCGUGCCUGGCUGCGUGGCGAACGGCUGAGGAACACGUGGGUCACCUGCCCCGGAGUGGGGGAUACCCCGUCGAAAGACGGGACAAUCCCGCAUACGCUCCACGGAGGAAAGCCGCAAGGCGCUCCGGGAGGGGCCGUCGCGGCCCGACUCAGGUAGGUUGGUGGUGGUAACGGACGCACCAAGCCAACUAGACGGGUACCCGGGUCCGUGAGAGGACGACCGGGCGAGACUGGGACGUGAGAGAACGGCCCAGACUCCUACGGGAGGCAGCAGCAAGGAAUUUUCCCCAAUGGGCGCAAGCCUGA